UGUGACCAAUAUGACUUGCUCAUUGAUACAUUUGCUAUGUCAAUAUGAGGUGCAUGGCAAAGUAUUUAAUUUAUUUGUCUCGCUUCUAGGAGCUGUAGAAACAACAGGGUGUUCUUUUUCAGGGUAUUCUUUUUUAUAGAACUGGACAGGUCAUGUAUUCGUUCCCCUUGUUUUUUUGAAGUGUCCUGCAGGAUGCUGUGUCCUGCAAUCCUGUGUGCUGUGCUACAGACGCGUGUGGAGGUCAACCCAAAAUGGGCACAGUCUCACCACAGAAGAGUGAAAGAGGAUCCUGGCAGGGAGAUGGUAGUGUCCUGCAGAAUGGUGAUGGGCCAAUCUUACAAGAGACCACAGAAAACUGAUAUAGUGUAAGAUUAUCCCUGUUGGGCUCAAUAGGUCUUGCUUAUUGACAUAUUUGCUAUGUCAAUAUGAGGUGCAUGGCAAAGUAUUUAUUUAUUUGUCUCGCUUCUAGGAACUAUAGAAACAACAGAGUGCCUGCUGCAGUAUGACGAGGACACCCUGAGCAGAGAGCUCCAAUAGACCCAGGUCCAGUGUCUUGGCAGGGUGAAAUGGCACUGAUAUGGUGUCCUGCAGGAUGCUGUGUCCUGCAAUCCUGUGUGCUGUGCUACAGACGCGUCUGGAAGCCAACCUGAAAUAAGCACAGUCUCUCCACAGAGGAGUGAAAGAGGGUAAGCUUAACCUAUAGCCUACGUCAGUGGUGGGGAACCUUUCUCAUUCGAAGGGCCAAUUCAAAUUCAUCCGAGGGGCCGUAAAAGUCCUCCAAGGGCCGUACUAUGAACACAAACCAGGAUUUUCCCCUUCACUUUAGGCCUAUAUUGAAGGCAGCCACAUUUAAACAAACACCACCUUCUUCAGCUUCCCUGAAUAUAACUUAAUUGUAUUGCAAAUGUAUUUUCUAAGGUUCCUUUACAAAAUAUGUCAUAUUUUAUGUGAAGCUGAAUAACAUUAAAAUU